rnacentral:lncRNA from 1 species
CUUUUUUUUAAGUGAAGACAUAAGACAUGGGGGAAAAUGGGAAGUAGAUGCUGGAAACUCAUUUAGUGGGGAUUCUGAUGCACGGUGAGUAUGUGUAGGGGGCAGCGGAGGGGUUUGUGCAAAAGUGCCCCGGGAUCAGAGCUAGCUGGCUCACUUGACACACAAGAGGAAUGGGGUUGAAGCCACUCAGUGGUCCUCCUGCAUUCCGACAGGACCCCACACCUCUUCUUGCGGAAACAACUUUGUUUCUGACUCUCUAAUUCCAGCAGGUAGGUGGAACGUGGUUCUGGAAAGUACUCUGUAACUUCUUACACAUCUUUCACACGCGCAGAAGUUUCCAUUGACCGUGAAGGACUUUCAGUAUGCCGGAGCUCUGUAGCUUAAUAUUCCUGUGCUCCUCUUCGGGGACCUAACGCUAGAGAGUCAGCUGUGGAAUUCAGGGGUACGCCAGGAGGGAGCCUCCGUGUGUUGGGAAGCACCUGUUUGGAAUCCGGGCCAUCGGGAUCGUCCAGGACUUUGAGAGAACAGUCCUGCUGCCAGCCGGAGAGGCUGUGGGAAGCGAGCCUGGUGGGGAGGAAAGAAAAGACGACUUCUGGAGGCCAAGUUGGAAAACGAGGGUCUUCACAAUGAGCUGCUUCAAUCCUUGAGAGCAAUCACAUUGAAUUUGAAAUAUGAAUGUCCAUGUACUUUCCCGGCUUUCGUGUUCGUCCAAGGCAGCCACGUAGUGGAGAAAUUCAGGGACUUCUCACGUGCAGAGCCUGCUCUCCGGUGUUUCUUCCCCGACAGAAGAAAGCAACAACCAGGAUCCGAGGGGGGCUUCACUUCUUGCUGAUAUUAGUGAAUUUUAACACAACUUCAGACACACGGAGGGAUGAAUGACUGUAUGUUUCAGGCUCUGAUUUAACCAUUUGCAUAAACUGCUGGAUAUCUCAUGGAAAAAAUUGAGUGUUUUUUUUUAAUUAAGAUUUUAUUUAUUUAUUCAUGAGACACCCAGAGAGAGAGGCAGAGACACAGGCAGAGGGAGAAGCAGGCUCCAUGCACCGGGAGCCCGACGUGGGAUUCGAUCCCGAGUCUCCAGGAUCGCGCCCUGGGCCAAAGGCAGGUGCCGAACUGCUGCGCCACCCAGGGAUCCCUGAAUCCCAGUUCUUACACUUGGCUCUGCGUCCCU